rnacentral:rRNA from 1 species
CCUACGGGAGGCAGCAGUGAGGAAUAUUGGACAAUGGGCGCAAGCCUGAUCCAGCCAUGCCGCGUGCAGGAAGACGCAUCUAUGGUGUGUAAACUGCUUUUGUACGGGAAGAAACACUCCCUCGUGAGGGAGCUUGACGGUACCGUAAGAAUAAGGAUCGGCUAACUCCGUGCCAGCAGCCGCGGUAAUACGGAGGAUCCAAGCGUUAUCCGGAAUCAUUGGGUUUAAAGGGUCCGUAGGCGGUUUAAUAAGUCAGUGGUGAAAGCCCAUCGCUCAACGAUGGAACGGCCAUUGAUACUGUUAGACUUGAAUUACUAGGAAGUAACUAGAAUAUGUAGUGUAGCGGUGAAAUGCUUAGAUAUUACAUGGAAUACCAAUUGCGAAGGCAGGUUACUACUAGUGGAUUGACGCUGAUGGACGAAAGCGUGGGGAGCGAACAGGAUUAGAUACCCUGGUAGUCCACGCCGUAAACGAUGGAUACUAGCUGUUGGGCGCAAGUUCAGUGGCUAAGCGAAGUGAUAGUACUCCGACCGUGGGGAGUACGUUCGCAAGUAUUAGAAACGUUAAAGGAAUUGUAGGNGNGNGAGNGCGACGGACGACGACGAGGGAGGAGG